GAAGUACUGCGUUGUGGAUUUCUGCCCUAGCAGAGUCGGAGACGGCGCGACCUUUCACAAGUUCCCUCGGGACGGUGCGCAAAGGGACGCGUGGACAGACUUUGUUCGUGCUACAGGGCGACACUAUUGGACGCUGAGAAAGACUAGUGCGGUUUGCUCACUGCACUUUUCGGCGGACUCGUACCGUAGUCAGUAUGCGGCCAACUUCGGGAUCCCGGCGAAGCACUGCCUGAAACCCGAUGCCAUGCCGACGGUGUAUCCGCUUCCGCUUGCAGUCUCCUUCAACAUGGGACAGGAGCAACUGCACCGAAGCGUCAGUGCAUCGCUGGAGUUGGCAGUGACCAUGAUAAUUCCUGGGACACGACGGCCAUGGACGAAGUAUCUGCGACACUUGGGCAGCGCUACCCACGCCAUCACCCCCAUGCGCAGCCACAGAAGGAAUCUCAUGCAGUACACGUGACUCCCAAACGCAGUGCGCUGUACAAGUGUCAGUAAAAG